rnacentral:lncRNA from 1 species
UGAGAGAGAAGAGAGUGUAGUGGUCUUACACCUACCCACUGAGUCGUUAAAACUCACUCUGGGUGGGAGCUGGUACCGGGCUGCGAACCUAGUACCUAGUACCUAUCAGCCUUAUGUCCGAUGACUUGACCACAACACCACCGCUUCUGAAAACAUUCAAACAGGGAGAAGUAUGUGUAUAAAUAUGUAAAUAGGUUCUUGGGGAAUCCCUUUAAUUUCUGACAUGUUAAUGUUGGCUUUAAUGAUGCAAAUGUCAGAAUUGCCAAAUGUUUGACAUCCGAUAGCCGUUGAUUAACAAAUCAAUGUGCUCUAGUGGUGUUGUUAAACAAAACAACCUUUAAUUAUAUAAAAAAAACUGUUUGAAAUAUUAAUAUUUGUACAUCUUAUGAUUUUAUUUAAUUCAAGUGUUUGUAGGUCAGCAUAGAUGUCUUAAGUGACUAAAAACACAUGUAUGCCAUUUUUCACCUGUUAAACCUUUCAUAUAUAUAUAUAUAUAUAUAUAUAUAUAUAUAUGUGUGUAUGUGUGUGUGUGUGUAAUUUUAUCAUUAUUAUUAGAUGUGAUAUCCCAGACACACACGCACAAAACUGAUAUUCAGUUUUAGAAUUCAUUUUAAUUUUCUAUUUUUCUGUCUAGUCCAUUUCUUUGUUUCAUUUCACAUUUUUGCCACACAUGAGAAGACACAUUAUUUGUGUAUUUUUAUUGGUUAAAUGAUUUUAUUUCAUCAAUGCAAAUCUGCAGCUACUAACAUUUGUAGAAAAAAGGUAAGCUUUUAUUUUUGCUUUUCCAUUAAAUUUUUGGUUCUUCUGUCAUGUCCGUGUUAUGACUGUUGCUGUGUGGUUUCCCCCAGUAUGUUAUCAAGGCUGUAUUACAUGUGUGUGUAUUAGUCCAAUACAGAUGAAUUUCAGGUAUCAAACGCAUACCACAGGGUUAUUAUGCUUAGAAAGUAUUACGUGCAAUUUUAUAUUUACCUGGUGCAUUUUACUUAUUAGGUAGGUGGUGACAAAUUGCAACCUGACACUUAUUAAUGAGUUCUGAAUUGAAACGCACAAUUCAUUUUUGACUGAUUUUGUUCAUGCUAAGAAUAGCUUUGAUUUCUCCUUUAAAUUACCUAAACCAAAUGGAUUUAUAAGAUAUUAAACGAGCUUCCAUUUCGUAUCAUGUCCUGAGUGAAAUAGUGUUCAAUUGUCUUGAGUUUUAGUGAGUGACAAUGAAAAUUAUUUCACAAGGGACAUAAACAUAAUUCCAAAUGGUAGCGAGUUUGAUAUCCUAUUUAUUAUCCAUAGUCGAUCUUAAUUUAUAUCGCUCAACUUGCUUGGCUGACAUUCCUGUAAGGUUGUAGUGAGCCAGUCAAUGAUGUUGUUGUUGUGUGAUAUCACUAAGUGGUACGUUCCACUUGGCAUUCUAGUGGGAUGUAUCACUUUGAUUUGUACCAAGACAUUUUAAACCAUAUGGGUAAUAAAGUGGGUUUCUACUCUGAUGAUGUAAACCAGCCAUCACUGUUACCAUGUUAUACACCUUCAGUUUUAGUGUAAAAUGUGCUGGGGUGUUAAUAAACAUCCCUUGCCUUCUUUGGGACAGGACACAGCCCAGUGGUAAAGUCCGGGCUCACCCUGGAGCAAAAAUACCUGUAGCCAAAAUAUUAGCCCAAUGGAAUUUUUAUUAGCCAUAUAUUGAAAAUGCUUUAGCCAGAAUUGUUUUACCUAGUACUGUAUAGAGUAUUUAUAUAUGAAUAUGAAAAUUGCAUCUUUUUCAAGUAAUGUGUACAAAUUGGAAUAAAUCGGAAUAACAAAACCAUGUUACCUGAUCAAAAUCAAAGACAGCAAUGAGGGUAGAGGCAGUUAAUAUAUUACUUUGAUUUUUCAGCAGGGUGGGGUGAUGCAUUAUCUGUAAAGCACUCACUUGAUGCGCGGUUGGUGUAGGAUCGAUCCCCGUUCGUGGGCCCAUUGGGCUAUUUCUCAUUCCAGGCAGUGCACCACAACUAUUUUAUCAAAGGCAUGUGGUAUGUGUUAUCCUGUCUGUGGGAUUGUGCAUAUGAAAGAUCCCUUGCUACUAAUGAAAAAAUGUCUUGUUUCCUCUGAGAAUAUAAGUCAAAUUACCAAACGUUUGACAUCCAAUAGCCAAUGAUUAUUAAUAAAUCAAUGUGCUCUAGUGGUGUCGUUAAACAAAGCAAACUACUUUUUUAACUGUAACCAUGUUAUAUACCUUCAGUGUACAGUGAACCCUCUCAAGACCGGACCCUCUGUAAACCGGAAUUCCCUCAAAACCGGACGUUUUACCGAGUCCCUUUUUAAAAACCAGGACAGAAGUUAACCUCUCUAAACCGGAUCCCUCUUAAAACCGGACAUUUGUCUUGGUGAUGAGGGUAUCCAGUUUAAAGGGGUUUCACUGCAGCUCAUUUUGAUGGGUGGGUCACUUGUUAAGUCGUGAAAUUCAAAGUGUCCAUGUAGUUAAAGACGCAGAUCAUUAAUUUGGAAGAGGUUGGAGCACUUGUUAAAUAUCAUGUUUCACUGGGCGGUUUUUGUUGUUGUUUUUUGUUUUUGAAGGUCUCGUUCAGUUUGAGGUGAUUCUUAUCUAAUGUUACUGAAUGUCUCGUUCAGUUUGAGGUGAUUCUUAUCUAAUGUUACUGAAUGUCUCGUUCAGUUUGAGGUGAUUCUUAUCUAAUGUUACUGAAUGUCUCGUUCAGUUUUUAUCAAUUAAAAUUAUUUGCAAGUAAGAGAGGAUAUUUUUCAUGAUCUUUCAUUUACAAUUCGCUGAAACUAGUACAGUGAAACCUCUGUAAACCGGAUCCUUCAUUAAACCGGACAUUUUAUACAGAAUCCCUUUUUAAAAACUAGUACAGAACAUAACCUCCUUAAACCGGAUCAUUCUUAGAACCGGACGUUUUACAGAAUCCCUUUUCAAAAGCUAGUAGAGAACGUAACCUCCUUAAACCGGAUCCUUCUUAAAACCGGACGUUUACAGAAUACCUUUUCAAAAACUAGUACAGAACGUAACCUCCUUAAACCGGAUCCUUCUUAAAACCGGACGUUUUACAGAAUCCCUUUUCAAAAACUAGUACAGAACGUAACCUCCUUAAACCGGAUCCUUAUUAAUACCGGACAUUUUACAAAAUCCCUUUUCAAAAACUAGUACAGAACGUAACCUUCCUAAACCAGAUCAUUCUUAAAACCGGACAUUUUACAGAAUCCCUUUUCAAAAAACUAGUACAGAACGUAAUUUCCUAAAUCAGAUCCUUCUUAUAACCGGACAUUUUACAGAAUCCCUUUUUAAAAACUAGUACAGAACGUAACCUUCCUAAACCAGAUCCUUCUUAAUACCCGACAUUUUACAGAAUCCCUUUUCAAAAACUAGUACAGAACGUAACCUCCUUAAACCGGAUCCUUAUUAAUACCGGACAUUUUACAGAAUCCCUUUUCAAAAACUAGUACAGAACGUAACCUUCCUAAACCAGAUCCUUCUUAAUACCCGACAUUUUACAGAAUCCCUUUUCAAAAACUAGUACAGAACAUAACCUCCUUAAACCGGAUCCUUAUUAAUACCGGACAUUUUACAGAAUCCCUUUUCAAAAACUAGUACAGAACGUAACCUUCCUAAACCAGAUCAUUCUUAAAACCGGACAUUUUAAAGAAUCCCUUUUCAAAAACUAGUACAGAACGUAACCUUCCUAAACCAGAUCCUUCUUAAUACCCGACAUUUUACAGAAUCCCUUUUUUAAAACUAGUACAGACAUAACCUCCUUAAACCGGAUCCUUCUUAAAACUGGACAUUUUACAGAAUCCCUUUUUAGAAACCAGUACAGAACGUAACCUUCCUAAACCUCUUAAAACCAGACAAUUGUCUUGGUCCCAAGGGUGUCCGUUUUAGAAGGGUUUCGCUGUAGUUAAAUUUGCUACAAUGCAUUGUAAAUUGGUGGAAGGAACUUGUUGGCAAGUAGCAAUGUCCAUACAGGAAGAGAAAAAACCCUCCGAACAUUCCUUUUUCUGUACAUACUUCACCAAAUGUGCCUGUCAUGAAAAUAAUUGUUAUUUUGUAACUUUCUCUAUAUAUGUCAUCAUUUUAAAGAGGACACUUAAUACGUGUAAACUUGGCGAAGUCACUUUUGGCUGCCUGUGUUCCUUUUUAAUGAUUGAAUCACUGGGCCGUACCUUGAUCAAAAUCCGGGGGGGGGGGGGGGGGGGCACUACUUUUUAUAAGCAAAAGAAACACUACAAAUUAAAUCCUGAGAUGUGUAUGCCAUUUUCUGGAUUUAAAAAAAUAGUUAGAUUCACAGGGAGGCAACGCCCCCCCCACACCCCACACUCCAGAGUGUGUGGCCCUGAAUCAUUACUGUGGUAGAUUCGUCCCAGACUCGUGUUCUUUCCUGACAGUAUUGGUAGAGGUGGGAGGCAAUUCUUUUUAUUGAGCAAUCCCUAUAUGUAAUAUUGUCGAGAUAAAUUACUAUGUACACUGACCAAAAAUAUCAUAGCUUUUUGGGAUGGACUUACUUUUACACUAGUUGUGAUCAGCAAAGGAAUGGUGUAUUGUUUAAUGUUACUUGUUAUUUUAUUUUCUAGUUGAUGGUUUUUUGGGGGGUUUUUUAAACAUUUCUAAGAUAAUUUUUGUUGUCAAAAUAAGAAAUUAAUUAUUUAAGAAUGUAUGCUUUGGUGUGUAGAUUUUGUAGGCAAUACGGCAUUCGACAUGUGUGAGCCUGCUACCCAUAGAAAAACGAUAAAGUUGUGUAAUGAAAUGGUUAAUUUUGUACAUUUUUGGCUUUUUUUAGGAUUGCAGAAUAAAUAAAAUAACUGGUUACUGUGUUAAGAUGCAUAUUUUGGCGUUAUCCUGCUCGAGUCGAAUGGGGAAUGCCACUUUAACACUCACAAGAUAAAGCCGAUAUCUUAAGACGGUAACUGGUUAUUCUCUUUAUAUAUUCACAGAAAAAAGUUCUUAUGCACGAAAUAAAACGGUCUCCAACCAACUGCAAAAUAAAGGUUGAAAUUUGACAAACAUGAUAAUAUCAACGUAAUUGGGCAUAUUGUCUCAAAAUGUUUACUAAUGACAGAAAUCAUUUGAUUUUGCUCACGUUAAACAUAUACGUUGUACAAUACAUGCACAGAAACUUUUAUUUCAUGAAUAUAUACAUCGACCGUUUACUAUUUGGGAGGAUAAAAAUAAUAUUACACGAUUGUCAUAACAACAGUGCAUGUACCUUUUUGUAGGUGAAGUAAAAAUGAUAACAUAUCA